UACGUAGGGGGCUAGCGUUUUUCGGAAUCACUGGGCGUAAAGCGCACGCAGGCGGAUCGAUAAGUCGGGGGUGAAAGCCCGGGGCUCAACCUCGGAAUUGCCUUCGAUGCUGUCGGUCUCGAGUCCGGGAGAGGUGAGUGGAAUUCCCAGUGUAGAGGUGAAAUUCGUAGAUAUUAGGAAGAACGCCAGUGGCGAAGGCGGCUCACUGGCCCGGUACUGACGCUCAGGUGCGAAAGCGUGGGGAGCAAGCAGG
rnacentral:rRNA from 1 species